rnacentral:rRNA from 1 species
AGAGUUUGAUCCUGGCUCAGAACGAACGCUGGCGGCAUGCCUCAUACAUGCAAGUCGAACGAGGUCUUCGGACCUAGUGGCGCACGGGUGAGUAACAUGUGGGAAUCUACCUGAAGGUUCGGAAUAACUGCGGGAAACUGUAGCUAAUACCGGAUGUGUCUGCAAAGAGAAAGAUUUAUCGCCUUCAGAUGAGCCCGCACUAGAUUAGCUAGUUGGUGAGGUAAUUGCUCCACCAAGGCUACGAUCUAUAGCUGAUUUGAGAGGAUGAUCAGCCACACUGGGACUGAGACACGGCCCAGACUCCUACGGGAGGCAGCAGUAGGGAAUAUUGGACAAUGGGGGAAACCCUGAUCCAGCAAUGCCGCGUGAGUGAAGAAGGCCUUCGGGUUGUAAAGCUCUUUCAUCAAUGAUGAUAAUGACAUUAGUUGAAGAAGAAGCCCCGGCUAACUUCGUGCCAGCAGCCGCGGUAAUACGAAGGGGGCUAGCGUUGUUCGGAAUCACUGGGCGUAAAGCGUAUGUAGGCGGAUCAAAAAGUUAGAUGUGAAAUCCCUGGGCUCAACCCAGGAACUGCAUUUAAAACUAGUGAUCUAGAAUUUGGUAGGGGUUAGUAGAAUUUCCAGUGUAGAGGUGAAAUUCGUAGAUAUUGGAAAGAAUACCAGUGGCGAAGGCGACUAACUGGGCCAUUUUUGACGCUGAGAUACGAAAGCGUGGGUAGCAAACAGGAUUAGAUACCCUGGU